ensembl:snRNA U6 U6 spliceosomal RNA
UUGCUUCGGCAGCAGAUGUACUAAAAAAUUGGAAUGAUACAGUGAGAUCAGCAUGGCCUCUGUGCAAGGAUGCUGUGUAAAUUUGUGAAGAAAGAUAGAUAAAU